rfam:Candidatus Pacearchaeota archaeon CG1_02_30_18 cg1_0.2_scaffold_948_c, whole genome shotgun sequence.
GCGGAAAUAGUUAAGUGGUAGAAUAUGACCUUGCCAAGGUUGUGACCCGGGUUCGAUUCCCGGUUUCCGCA